rnacentral:rRNA from 1 species
ACAGCAGAGCCACGGUAAUACGGAGGGUGCAAGCGUUAUCCGGAUUUAUUGGGUUUAAAGGGUCCGUAGGCGGAUCUGUAAGUCAGUGGUGAAAUCUCACAGCUUAACUGUGAAACUGCCAUUGAUACUGCAGGUCUUGAGUAAAUUUGAAGUGGCUGGAAUAAGUAGUGUAGCGGUGAAAUGCAUAGAUAUUACUUAGAACACCAAUUGCGAAGGCAGGUCACUAAGAUUUAACUGACGCUGAUGCACGAAAGCGUGGGGAGCAAACAGGAUUAGAUACCCCUGUAGUCCCUGUCUCUUAUACA